UACGGAGGGUGCAAGCGUUAUCCGGAUUCACUGGGUUUAAAGGGUGCGUAGGUGGGCAGGUAAGUCAGUGGUGAAAUCUCCGGGCUUAACCCGGAAACUGCCAUUGAUACUAUCUGUCUUGAAUACCGUGGAGGUGAGCGGAAUAUGUCAUGUAGCGGUGAAAUGCUUAGAUAUGACAUAGAACACCAAUUGUGAAGGCAGCUCACUACACGAAUAUUGACACUGAGGCACGAAAGCGUGGGGAUCAAACAGG
rnacentral:rRNA from 1 species